GACGAACGCUGGCGGCGUGCUUAACACAUGCAAGUCGAACGAAGUGGCGAACGGGUGAGUAACGCGUAAUCAACCUGCCCUUCAGGGGGGGAUAACAGUUGGAAACGACUGCUAAUACCGCAUACGGAAGGAGGGGAUGGCGUCUGAUUAGCUAGUUGGAGGGGUAACGGCCCACCAAGGCGAUGAUCAGUAGCCGUGCUGAGAGGAGGAACGGCGACGUUGGGACGGAGGCACGGCCCAGAGUCCUUCGGUAGGCAGCAGUGGGGAUUGUUCCGCAAUGGACGAAAGUCUGACGGAGCAACGCCGGGUGAGUGAGGACGGCCUUCGGGUUGUAAAGCUCUGUUAAUCGGGACGCGGUACCGGAAUAGAAAGCCACGGCUAACUACGUGCCAGCAGCCGCGGUAAUAC
rnacentral:rRNA from 1 species